CCAGAAUCAGUUGACAGUUUGCAAUGUGUAGGGUGGGAGAGGAAGAUAGCCUCGAGCGAGCCCCUAGAAAACUCAUGUGACGUUGACUGAAAUGGGGAAAAGUACAGAAAGAGCAAAGGUUGGAGGAAACCUCAGGGCCUUGUCUGCGACCAGGUUAGGAUUCAUGGUUGGGGCCACCAGUCUGCUUCCAGUGUUUCUUCUUCCCAUUAGUCCCUGUGGACUGGAAUCGUAUAAUGGGACCUUCUUACUCCAGCACAGAUCAGACAAACCGGAGGAGGUCUUAGGAGGUAAAUCGGAGGCAGGGAUGCUGCCCGGCUCCUGGUGUCCUGCCGAGUCUUCUCAGGAGGCCCUUAUGCAACCGGCACCUGUGAUCUUCUCAACUAUUACUUCAGACUCCCCAGACGGGCCCCAAACUGUGCUGUCAAGGAAUGCCAAGGGAGAUAAAAUAUUUACACCUCAACUAAAUCGACAGGAAAAAAUAUCCAUACCUGAUAGAAUAAAAAUUCACAGUUGUAGAAUCAGAAGAGAUGUCACGCAGCACACGGGGAAUUCAAAGCACUGUAGCCACAGGCAGCGCACAUAUCUCUCUGGAAAGAAUUCUGCCGCACAGCUGUUGAAGUCUCUGUCAGCGGCAGAGUCCACACCUGCGAAUAUCAUAGCAUAGUGUCACGUCCGGCUCCUGGUCAAGGAAUCAGAGAUGUCGCAUCUGGGGAAGGAGCACCACUGCUUUGCUGUCCCAGCAGCCCGC
ensembl:lincRNA